CAAUAGCGUAUAUUAAAGUUGUUGCAGUUAAAAAGCUCGUAGUUGGAUUUCUGGUUGAAGCGACCGGUCGGGCGUUGAUUCGUCUGCACUGGAGUCGGUUUUGGCCAUCCUCUAGGAAAGUGCGUCUGGUAUUAAGUUAUCGGGCGUAUGAUCCUGGUCUUUUACUGUGAAAAAAUUAGAGUGUUUAAAGCAGGCCUUCGCCUUGAAUACAUUAGCAUGGAAUAAUAAGAUAGGAGUUUGGUCUAUUUUGUUGGUUUGCAGACCGAAGUAAUGAUUAAUAGGGAUAGUUGGGGGUAUUUAUAUUCCGAUGUCAGAGGUGAAAUUCUUAGAUUUUCGGAAGAUAAACUUAUGCGAAAGCAUUUACCAAGGAUGUUUUCAUUAA
rnacentral:rRNA from 1 species